rnacentral:misc_RNA from 1 species
CACCACUCGAGUCUGACUCGGUAUUGGGCGCCGCGUUUCGAUGCGCGCCUUAAAGUUUCCGGCUGGACCGUCCGUCUCCGAGCGUUGUGGCAUCUGUCUCGCUAGGGAGUCGCGGAGGGCGUGGGCCGUUAAACACCCCAUCAAA